CCCUAUUAUAAUUAAUAUAAAAAAAUUUUGAGUAGUAAAUGUUUUGUUCAGGAAACUUAAAGAAUUUGGCGGUGUAUAUUUUAAUCAGAGGAAUAUGUUUUUUAAUUGAUGUUUCACAAAUAUUUUACUUAAAUUUAUUUAUUAUGUAUAUCUCCGUCUUAAAAAAAUUUUUAUAAAAAUUUUUUUAUUAUUAUAAGAUAAGAUAAGUCAGGUCAAGAUGCAGAUUAUAUUUAAGUUAAAGUGUAUUACAAUAAAGUUAUUUUUGGAUUUAGUCUUCAAAUAUUAAUGAAAGUGGAUUUGUAAGUAAGUUUUUUUUAAUGAUAAUUAAUUGAAUAUUAUAAAUAUAUAUGCACACAUCCC
rnacentral:rRNA from 1 species